GAGGAGACGCUGGCGGCGUGGAUUAGGCAUGCAAGUCGAACGGUAGGAUACCUUCGGGUAUCUGAGAGUGGCGAACGGGUGAGUAACACGUAGGUGAUCUACCCUCAAGAUUGGGACAACCCAGGGAAACUUGGGCUAAUACCGGAUGAAAGCAGCAGUGAUGUUGUUUGAAAGGUGGCGUAAGCUGCCGUUUGGGGAUGAGCCUGCGCUCUAUUAGUUAGUUGGCGGGGUAAAGGCCCACCAAGGCGAUGAUAGAUAGGCGGCCUUAACGGGUGGUCGCCCACACUGGGAUUGAGAUACGGCCCAGACUCCUACGGGAGGCAGCAGUCGAGAAUAGUCUACAAUGGCCGAAAGGCUGAUAGUGCGACGCCGCGUGAACGAAGAAGCCCUUCGGGGUGUAAAGUUCUUUUAUAUGUGAGCAGUGCUUUCUAUGUGAACAGCAUGGGGAGAGAGAUAUUAGCAUAUGAAUAAGCAACGGCUAACUCCGUG
rnacentral:rRNA from 1 species